UACGAAGGGGGCUAGCGUUGUUCGGAAUUACUGGGCGUAAAGCGCACGUAGGCGGAUUGUUAAGUUAGGGGUGAAAUCCCAGGGCUCAGCCCUGGAACUGCCUUUAAUACUGGCAAUCUCGAGUCCGAGAGAGGUGAGUGGAAUUCCGAGUGUAGAGGUGAAAUUCGUAGAUAUUCGGAGGAACACCAGUGGCGAAGGCGGCUCACUGGCUCGGUACUGACGCUGAGGUGCGAAAGCGUGGGGAGCAAACAGG
rnacentral:rRNA from 1 species